CAGAAACCUGAGCCAGAUUGGCAUCAGUGGGAUCAUUGACAACAAUGGGAAAAAGGGUUGACACAAAAUCUGGCUUCCCAAAAAUAAGGACCCACAAACACCUCCCCAGCAAACGACUCCAUGUAUGGCAGUAGAAGAAUGCAGAGGGCUCAGCCCACCAGUCUGAGAAGAUUCUGCCUCCAGCAACCAGGGUGUCUGAAUAGGGAGAGAGGGGGCGGGUCUUAAAGCCAUUCCUCUUCCUUGGGGAUAGAGAGGAGACUGCUGCUGCUCCCCAUGUUUCUCAGAAGGUCAACCUGACCAUGGCUGUCAAUUCAGAGAGAAGUGCAAUAGUCUUGGGAAGAAAGUUGACCUAUUUUUUAAAUAAGUUCCUUUUUGACAUAAACAGCAAGUAGAGUUAUACCUUAGUUACCAAGUUGCUGCAGCAUCCUUGCCUCCUCCCCAAAGCCUGUGACUGUAAAAUUUUUUGGCACGUUGUACUCAAAUGAAGAAUGUCUUGAGAUGUAUCUCUUGAUCACUCCAAAGAAAUAGAUUAAUUUGCACUUCCAUGAAUGUAAAGUGGCUACUUCAUGUAAAUAAUUUUCCAUGUUCUCAAAUCUGAGAUUUCCAUUCAUAACUUUUAUAGAAAUGACUGAUUUGGCUUGAAGCCAUCAAGACUUUUUCGUAUAGUGGAGGGUGGAUGAGAAUAAAAAAAAUUACUUUUGCUUCCUUUUUUAAAAAACUUCAUCUUAACAGUUUGUUAGCUCACCAAGCUCCCUAGGAUUAUGGGGGGAUCCUCUACUGCAGGGGUGACCAACCCGCAGCUCGCAAGCUGCAUGCGGCUCUUCAAAGAAAACAUUGUGGCUUCCGCACCCGCGGCUUUAGGCUCUGAAAGGGGCAGCAUGUUUCUGUCUGAAAGAAACAGAGCCAGAGUUGCAGCAUCCCGUGCAGACUUCAAAAUGACCACUUUCAAGGGGCAACAGCCUGCUCUGUUCUUAAAAGGGCGGCGGCCGGGGCU